rnacentral:rRNA from 1 species
UACGUAGGGUGCAAGCGUUAAUCGGAAUUACUGGGCGUAAAGCGUGCGCAGGCGGUUUCGUAAGUCUGUCGUGAAAUCCCCGGGCUUAACCUGGGAAUGGCGAUGGAGACUGCGAGGCUAGAGUUUGGCAGAGGGGGGUAGAAUUCCACGUGUAGCAGUGAAAUGCGUAGAGAUGUGGAGGAACACCGAUGGCGAAGGCAGCUCCCUGGGUCAAAACUGACGCUCAUGCACGAAAGCGUGGGGAGCAAACAGG